rnacentral:rRNA from 1 species
UACAGAGGUCCCGAGCGUUGUUCGGAUUCAUUGGGCGUAAAGGGUGCGUAGGUGGCGCCGUAAGUCGGAUGUGAAAUCCCCAGGCUUAACCUGGGAACUGCAUCCGAUACUGGAUGGCUUGAAUCCGGGAGAGGGAUGCAGAAUUCCAGGUGUAGCGGUGAAAUGCGUAGAUAUCUGGAGGAAUACCGGUGGCGAAGGCGGCAUCCUGGACCAGCAUUGACGCUGAUGAGCGAAAGCUAGGGGAGCAAACGGG